GGAAUGCAGCUGGAAGAUCUCAAACAGCAGCUCCAGCAGGCCGAGGAGGCCCUGGUGGCCAAACAGGAGGUGAUCGAUAAGCUGAA
rnacentral:sRNA from 1 species